CCAGGACCAAUCCUGUUGCCUGUUCCAUCUCGAUUUAUCUGCAGGAUCUCACUAAUUGAAUCUACCACAGCAGCAGGCAGGCCUGGGGCACAGCCAGUGAGGCAGACACGCAGCGGGCUGCAAACUUCCCUCUUUUCCUUUUUAGCCAAGAGCGAAACACAAGCAGCCCAGAAACUCUCUCCCUUCCCCUGACCCUGCCAAUCUGAGUCUGAGGGGAACCCUGCAGCCCUGUGGCCCAUAACCCAGGGCACCCAUGCCCGCCGAGUCCUGAGACCAGACAGUGCCCCCGCUGCCUGCCCUCCUCCCCCACUUCUCUCUCAAAUUCCUGAAGCAGAAAAAAAAGUCUGCCUGAGCAGCGGGGCUGAAAUCCCCCAACUCUGUCACUUAGCCGGCGCGGUCCCCUACCGUAGGAGUCGUCUUGGUCCAGGAGGGAGUCGGGCUCCAUGGCGUGUGGGCCCCCAGCCCCUGGCCCCACCCUAAUUUAUGAACCGAGGCUGUCUCCAUGAGCGUCUGGGUUUCUCCUUUUGUAUUCCAUCUGGCGGCUUUUCCAACUAGAUGACAGGCCUGGCUGGGAACAUUAGAAGGGACCGAGGCGGCGAGAUGUCUAAAAUAGGAAGACGCCGGGGAUGCUUGGCCUGGCUGCCCGCGAUGCUGGCUGCAGGGAUCUGGCCGGGCUGUGCAGAUGGAAAAGCUAAGAGCUGCCAUGAUAGAAACAGCUUCCCUCCACCAUGCCAUUAUGUUUCUCUCUCAUCUCAGGCCUAAAAGUCGUGGAAUCAGCUGACCAUGGACUGAAACCUCUGAAACCAUGAGCCAAAAUAAAUGUUUUCUACUUUAAGUUGAUUUCCUCAGGUAUUUUGUCAUAGCACCAGCAAGCUGGCUGACACACGGUGAGGUGGAGGGAAAGCUUCACUGGAUCCUAAUCAGGGAUGAUCCCCCCUGGGUGAGG
rnacentral:lncRNA from 1 species